rnacentral:misc_RNA from 1 species
GAUGAAGAACGCAGCGAAAUGCGAUAAGUAAUGUGAAUUGCAGAAUUCCGUGAAUCAUCGAAUCUUUGAACGCACAAUGCGCCCUCUGGUAUUCCGGGGGGCAUGCCUGUCCGAGCGUCAUUUGCAACCCUCAAGCCCGGCUUGUGUGAUGGGUGCCGUCCCCUACGGGACGCGCCCCGAAGGCAAUGGCGGCGUCGCGGUUAUCCGAUCAGCCAAAGUGUAUGGGGCUUUGUCACUCACUUUACGGCCCGGACCGGCGCCAGUCCGAAUCAAUCUUUUUUCUAAAGUUGACCUCGGAUCAGGUAGGGAUACCCGCUGAACUUAAGCAUAUCAAUAAGCGGAGGA